rnacentral:rRNA from 1 species
CCGGAGGGUGACUAGCUACUGAAUCUUCAUGUGUCAUUGAAGAUAACGUAAAGGAAAAUAAUGAUAUUACUUUACUAUUAGUGUCGUCCAAAGACUCGUGCCAGAAGACUCGGUAAGGCGAGAGACGCAAACGUUAUUCGUCUUGAUCAGGCGUAAAGGGUGUGUAGGCUGCUUUAAGUAUUUAUAUUGAAAACUUACUACUAUAAUGUAGUCUAUUUAGCUUUAUGAUUUUAAUCUCUCUAAUUAGAGGUUUAGAGGGAUUAGCGAUCAAAUUGUGAAAUAACUCUUUAUAAUUUAAGUAUAAAUCAAUUAAAGCUAGAAUCUAAAAGAGGUUAAAACAAUACUUAAGGUAGGAGUACUAACCGUAAAUAUUAAGUAGAGUGCUAACGGCGAAGGCAUUUAUCCACUAUAGAUUGACGCUGAGAAACGAAGGUGAGGGCAGAAAAAAGGAUUAGAGACCCUUGUAUUCCUCACUGUCAACGAUGAAUGGUAGUUACUAGUUAGAAAUUAGCUAGAGAUGAUGUUAACACGAAAACCAUUCCGCCUUGUGAGUACAACUGCAAAGUUGAAAACAAAAAAAUUAGUCGGUUUCGGAGCAAACGAAGUGAAGCAUGUUAUUUAUUG